rnacentral:rRNA from 1 species
UUCCGGUUGAUCCUGCCGGACCUGACUGCUAUCGGAUUGGUACUAAGCCAUGCGAAUCGUUGUAGCAAUACAAGGCGGACGGCUCAGUAACACGUAGUCAACCUAACCUAUGGACGUGGAUAACCUCGGGAAACUGAGAAUAAACCGCGAUAGAUCAUAAUGCCUGGAAUGGCUUAUGGUUUAAACAAUUUAUUGCCGUAGGAUGGGACUGCGGCCUAUCAGCUUGUUGGUGAGGUAAUGGCCCACCAAGGCUAUAACAGGUACGGGCUCUGAGAGGAGAAGCCCGGAGAUGGGUACUGAGGCACGGACCCAGGCCCUAUGGGGCGCAGCAGGCGAGAAACCUUAGCAAUGUGCGAAAGCACGACUAGGUUAAUCCGAGUGGUUCCUGCUAAAGGAACCUUUUGUCAGUCGUAAAACCACAGACGAAUAAGGGGUGGGCAAGUCUGGUGUCAGCCGCCGCGGUAAUACCAGCACCUCGAGUGGUCAGGAGGUUUAUUGGGNCUAAAGCAUCCGUAGCCGGCUUUGCAAGUCUCCGGUUAAAUCCAGCUGCUCAACAGAUGGGCUGCCGGAGAUACUACACAGCUAGGGAGCGGGAGUGGCAGACGGUAUUCUGUGGGUAGGGGUAAAAUUCUUUUGAUUCAUAGAGGACUAUCAGUGGCGAAGGCGGUCUGCCNGAACGNGUUCGACGGUGAGGGAUGAAAGCUGGGGGGAGCAAACCGGAUUAAAUACCCGGGUAGUUCCAGCUUGUAAACGAUGCAAACUCGUGAUGCAUUGGCUUAUGGCCAAUGCAGUGGCCGCAGGGAGCCGUUAAGUU